UAAGACGAACCGUGCGAACGUUGUUCGGAUUCACUGGGCUUAAAGGGCGCGUAGGCGGGCUCGCAAGUCAGGGGUGAAAUCCUCCGGCUCAACCGGAGAACAGCCUUUGAUACUGCGAGCCUCGAGGAAGGUAGGGGCAUGUGGAACUUCCGGUGGAGCGGUGAAAUGCGUAGAUAUCGGAAGGAACGCCGGUGGCGAAAGCGACGUGCUGGACCUUUUCUGACGCUGAGGCGCGAAAGCCAGGGGAGCAAACGGGAUUAGAUACCCCGGUAGUCCUGGCCCUAAACGAUGGGUACUAGAUUGUAGACUGACAUGGGUUUACAGUCGAAGCAAAAGUGAUAAGUACCCCGCCUGGGGAGUAUGGUCGCAAGGCUG
rnacentral:rRNA from 1 species